GGGAGGAUACCCAAGUGGCCAAAGGGGGCAGACUGUAAAUCUGCUGGCGAUGUCCUUCGAAGGUUCGAAUCCUUCUCCUCCCA
rnacentral:tRNA from 1 species